rnacentral:lncRNA from 1 species
AAACAGAACUCCAUGACUUUACAGAAAGCACUUCAGGAGCUUUCCCACACGGAGCGGUUGUUGUGGAAUCACGUGGGCUAACAAGGCCUCUGCCUCACUUGGAAAUCUAGCAGGUGAAAGGAUGUUCUAUAACUCGCUGUUCCUUGUGGUCUCUGACUCUCAGGAAAAGCUGACAAGCUGAGGACAGUAAGUAUCUGAGAGUACAGCCAAGAAACCGCUGGGCACUUCUCCGUUGGUGGGAGUGAGGUUCUGGAACCCAAUGGAAAUAGUUAUCUAUAUUCAUCCGCAACGGCCGCUGUCUUUGUUACUUUUCUCAUUGCUAUGAC